rnacentral:misc_RNA from 1 species
AACGCACCUUGCGCUCCUUGGUAUUCCGAGGAGCAUGCCUGUUUGAGUGUCAUGGUAUUCUCAAUUCUUCAGGUCUUUUUGUGAGACUCUGAUGAUAUUGGACUUGGAGGUUUAUUGCUGGCAUCUUGCAGGUGCCUGCUCCUCUCAAAUGCAUCAGUAUGAAUGUUCACUUCAUGCUCAGUGUGAUAAUUAUCUGCACUGUGUCUGAGUGUUAUGGAUUCAUGCUUCAAACUGUCGUCAAGACAAUUCAUUUGACUUCUGACCUCAAAUCAGGUAGGACUACCCGCUGAACUUAA